rnacentral:snRNA from 1 species
GUACUCACUUCUGCAGCACAUAUACUAAAAAUUGGAAAUGAUGACAGAGAAAAGAUCAACAUGACCCCUGCUUAAGGAUGACACGCAAAUUUGUGAAGCACUCCAUAUAUUU